GAUGAACGCUGGCGGCGUGCCUAAUACAUGCAAGUCGAGCGAACAGACGAGGAGCUUGCUCCUUUGUCGUUAGCGGCGGACGGGUGAGUAACACGUAGGUAACCUACCUAUAAGACUGGGAUAACUUCGGGAAACCGGCGCUAACACCGGAUAAUAUUUCGAACCGCAUGGUUCGAUAGUGAAAGAUGGCUUUGAUGACGCUUAUAGAUGGUACUGCGCCGUAUUAGCUAGUUGGUAAGGUAACGGCUUACCGAGGCAACGAUGCGUAGCCGACCUGAGGGGGGGUACGGCCACUCAGGAAGUGAGACGCGGUCCAGACUCCGACGGGAGGCAGCAGUAGGGAAUCUUCCGCGAAGGGCGAAAGCCUGACGGAGCAACGCCGCGUGGGUGAUGAAGGGCUGCGGAUCGUAAAACGCUGUUAUUGGGGAAGAACAAACGUGUAAGUAACUGUGCACGUCUGAACGGUACCUAAGCAGAAAGCCACGGCUAACUACGG
rnacentral:rRNA from 1 species